UAUUUCAGGAAUGCAAGAAGGUGGUUC
rnacentral:piRNA from 1 species